rnacentral:rRNA from 1 species
UACAGAGGAUGCAAGCGUUAUCCGGAAUGAUUGGGCGUAAAGCGUCUGUAGGUGGCUUUUUAAGUCCGCCGUCAAAUCCCAGGGCUCAACUCUGGACAGGCGGUGGAAACUACCAAGCUCGAGUACGGUAGGGGCAGAGGGAAUUUCCGGUGGAGCGGUGAAAUGCGUAGAGAUCAUGAGGAAGACCAGUGGCGAAGGCGGGUCUCUGGACAGUUCCUGACACUGAGACACGAAGGCCAGGGGAGCAAACGGG